GUAAGCAAUGUUGUUUUCCCCUCACCCAUGACGGCACCCCAUGCGAGAGACUAUACAUGAGGAAAUUAGGGUGGGACCACCGCCUGAAGCACCUUCCUACCAAAGGCGGUAUCUGCGUGAAGUUGGAGCCUGUAAUGCUUUAAUAAAGUAUGUGGGGGAACUCCACGUUGGCGCUCUACAAAUUUGGGCCAGAGAGGCAUCCGCCUUCUCGGCCCAGGACAUAGCCACCGAUCGGGUGGAGUGAGCUCCAAACCCUGAAGGGGGAGAGAGACCCUGUGUUAGGUAGGCCUUGGAAAUUGCCCUUUUGACCCAUCUAGCAAUGACUGCCGUGGACACUUUUCGUCCAAAUAAGUUAAGACAUCUUUUAACGUCAAGGCAAUGAUACUCCCUUUCUAAAUCCUUGGAAGGAUUUGUGCCAAAGGAUGGAAGGAUAACAUCCUGACUUCUGUGGAAGUCCGUAACCAAUUUUGGCUGAAAGGACGGGAGUGGCCUGAUGAUAACCUUGUCAUCUAAGAUCUGGGUAUACGGAGGAAAAGCCGAGAAGGCUUGCAUCUCUGAAAUCCAUCUAGCCGAUGUAAUGGCCAGCCACGUCCGAGAGGUCUAUAUCAGAAUCCCUAACAUCCGGGGACUUGUCUGGUGACCUAUGGCUGCCCUUAUUAAAUGAUUUUAAGGAGGCCCUGACCUCGGAUCGUAUUAAGGACCUCAUGUUUCUGGAGAGGCUCCGAGACUUCUCCGCCGCUUAGAAUAAGAAGAUGCUAGGGCAACUCUGCAUCCUGCACACUUUACGCUUUGUUUUUGAAGCUGCUUUUUUGGGGGUCUUUGCAACCUAAAACACCCCAUUAAUAAAAAGAUCAACCUCACCACUGAUCUUUGUCCCCACUCCUCAGGACCGGACUAGCAGGCCUCGAGGGUUCAGCGCGUCCAUCUGCUGGCUCUGUCAUCCUGUAGGAAUGGAGCCUCUUCAGCACAGCACAGCACUGUGUGCUACAUCAGCUGGCUGGAUUCCCCCGCAGCCCCAUUUAUAUUUUAACAGACGCGCCUAGGCUAUUCCAGCGCUUUUCCCCCCCGCUUCCGGGUUAAGCCCCGCCCACCGGAGUGUGCAUGCGCCUCCCCGACAGGAAACUGGGCAAAACGCCGUACAGCAUGAGGGAAGCUGCUUGAACACUGCCACAGCAGCUCCCUCGGGAUCGGCGCCGGAAUGCAGACUUUAGGCAGCAGCUCUCAGAGAGCUUUCAGCCGCCUGGGGAAGGCCCCCCACUGGAUCAGAACCUGGGCCUCCCCCCAGCUGCAGGUGAGAAUCAUCUUCAAACUUCCCAGGAACUGGGAAACCUGAACUGGUGCUUGGUGGGGGUGUGAACCUUUUAUCUUCUCAGGUUUCCUGUCCCAGAUGGGAGGAGAUGUAGGGAGCGGUCAGUGCUGCACUGCCUACACUUACUGCUCCUUGGUCAACUUAAACGCCACACAUGUCCUGACUGCAAUGGCAUCAGGACAUAGGCUUACACCAUGACCUGACACUGGGUGACAUCAGGUCGCAGUGCAGCACCGGACAAGACCAGGGAGCAGUGACAUCCAGAGCAGGAGAGGCAAGUUCAUUUAUUUUAUGUCUGAUUGAAAAGGUUUUCCUCUAAAACCUAGGUGCAUCUUAUGGUCAUAACAUCUUCUGGAUUGACAAUAGUGCGGAUUUCAUGCACCAUGUGCAGUUUUUUUUAUGCCAAAACAAGUAGUGGACAAAAAAUAAAUAAAUUCUGCAUGCAGUUUUGGAAGCCAAGACCAGGAGCAAUUGUCAAAAGGAGUUAUAAAAACGUUAUACUUUCUCUCCUUUCAUAAUCCACGCCUGAUCUCGGCUUCUAAAACUGCACACAGAAACCUGACCAUGUGGUCAUAUCCUGAUGGUGACUAAUCUCCUACUGGGUCUCAGUCUGUUCACAUGGUGCGGUGCUGCGUGGUGGCUGUUGCUGUGCCUGUAGGUUGGUGGGGCCCAGUGCCGUGGAGGAUUUUCCUGAUAGCAGGAGUGUUGGUGAGCUGCUGGGUCUCACCAUCUACAGGUGCUGUGUUGUGGUGGCAGUGGUAACCAUGCAGUAAUUUAGAGCAGGGAUCCACUCCUUAGAGACCACCUUGACGUGGUGGGUGGGUCCAUGUAUUUUGACCAAAACAUAUACUAAGUGUUCCAUGUACACAUUUAUAAAUUAUGCAAAGCAAUAGAUCAAUGCCUGGCAUGUAGAUGUGUGAUCCAUCCUUCUCCAGAGUCUACCAGUUUACAUUACCUCUACAAUCUAGAGCAAGGGUUAGACAGGAUGUACACACAUCUGGUAUGCAACCCCCAUACCUUGGCUUUUCAGAUGAGCUUUUCUUUGCCAUCUUCUCUGGUGUAACAUUUUCUUCAUUUCCUUGUUUCUUGGAG